GAAACUCAGGGUGGGGUCUCUGACCACUAAUCUCUCCCCUCACUGAACCCAGGCUAUGCUCAGCUGAAGUGCCUGCCAGCUUCCGAUGUCCCCUUCCUCCCUCACUGCUACAAGUCCCUCCCUCCAGAAGCUGAGAGCCCAGCAAAGAGGAUGUCUUCCAAGGAGAAGUUGCUCCAGGACUACAAACUCCUGCUAGAAAUUCCAAGAAAUUUCACAAGGUCUAUUGGUAGGACAAUGUUGAGUAAGUCAGAAGCAUUCCAAGUACCAAUUCAUACACGAGGAAGAGAAAAUUUAUUUUUUCUUCUUU
rnacentral:sRNA from 1 species